rnacentral:tRNA from 1 species
GUCGCGAUUGCUGAGCAGUAAAGCACUUGGCUUUCGAACCAGGGUCCGGGGUUCGAAUCCCAGUGAAGACU